rnacentral:lncRNA from 1 species
GAAAAAUUAUGCAGUUGUCCACUUAAUUUUCUCAAAUAUUGACAGUAGAAUAACAGAUGUUGGUCUGAUGUCAUAAGGGUCUGCCUCCCAGGAUAGAACAUUCCUCAUUGACUGGCAUCUCAGCCUUUCCAUGGGCUUCUGGAAGUCCUGAUCUUUAUUCCUAACAAAGCAGCAGGCAGACUGGAUUCUCUCAGCUUUGGUGCGGAUCCGCCACGAGCAAUGAAAAUCACGAUGUGAACUGAGACACCAAGAGGUAAAGGCCACUGAAAGAAACUGAAAAAUUAGAGGCCUCUUUCUUAGGACUGACGAAUGAAGAUGAGAGCUUAAUGGUGAACAGGAUGGCUGCAGAUCGCUGAGCAGAACCCUCUGUCUGAAGUGGAUUCAGAAAACAAGCUGAGCGGGGAUCGUGACCACAAGCUGACUGCCUGGGUGUGAAAUGUCCUGUCAUGGAAGAGCCAAAUGACAACAAUGUCUGUUAGGCCACAUGGAAACUAAUGCUGUCCAGAGAAGAAAGGAAGAUACUUAAAGCUGACAAAUGAAACUAUUUCCAGUUCAACUCAUCUGUACGAUACAACGGAGGCACAAGCAACUUGCUCAAGGUUGUGCUUUUUGGCUCUGCAUUCACCAAGAGACGAACCCUCUGAGUUCAGUUACAAAAUGGAUGAGAAUUUGGUUAUUACCCCUGCUGUAGGACUUUCCUUCAGCCCUGAUACAUAGAGCUGGUGAUGAAUAUCCAAAAGACCGGAAUUACGGGUAAUGUAACUUGGGCUGGAUGAAGGGAGUCGAGGAACUGGGAUGAAGUGGAAGGUGUCCACCUUGAGUAAGGGGCAGCCUCUGCUUGGCUGUGACUAAUUACCAUACACAGGACUACAGGACUAGUAGAUUCAAGAGAACCUGCUUUCAAAU